rnacentral:rRNA from 1 species
GAUGAACGCUGGCGGCGUGCCUAAUACAUGCAAGUCGAGCGAACGGACGAGAAGCUUGCUUCUCUGAUGUUAGCGGCGGACGGGUGAGUAACACGUGGAUAACCUACCUAUAAGACUGGGAUAACUUCGGGAAACCGUAGCUAAUACCGGAUAAUAUUUUGAACCGCAUGGUUCAAAAGUGAAAGACGGUCUUGCUGUCACUUAUAGAUGGAUCCGCGCUGCAUUAGCUAGUUGGUAAGGUAACGGCUUACCAAGGCAACGAUGCAUAGCCGACCUGAGAGGGUGAUCGGCCACACUGGAACUGAGACACGGUCCAGACUCCUACGGGAGGCAGCAGUAGGGAAUCUUCCGCAAUGGGCGAAAGCCUGACGGAGCAACGCCGCGUGAGUGAUGAAGGUCUUCGGAUCGUAAAACUCUGUUAUUAGGGAAGAACAUAUGUGUAAGUAACUGUGCACAUCUUGACGGUACCUAAUCAGAAAGCCACGGCUAACUACGUGCCAGCAGCCGCGGUAAUACGUAGGUGGCAAGCGUUAUCCGGAAUUAUUGGGCGUAAAGCGCGCGUAGGCGGUUUUUUAAGUCUGAUGUGAAAGCCCACGGCUCAACCGUGGAGGGUCAUUGGAAACUGGAAAACUUGAGUGCAGAAGAGGAAAGUGGAAUUCCAUGUGUAGCGGUGAAAUGCGCAGAGAUAUGGAGGAACACCAGUGGCGAAGGCGACUUUCUGGUCUGUAACUGACGCUGAUGUGCGAAAGCGUGGGGAUCAAACAGGAUUAGAUACCCUGGUAGUCCACGCCGUAAACGAUGAGUGCUAAGUGUUAGGGGGUUUCCGCCCCUUAGUGCUGCAGCUAACGCAUUAAGCACUCCGCCUGGGGAGUACGACCGCAAGGUUGAAACUCAAAGGAAUUGACGGGGACCCGCACAAGCGGUGGAGCAUGUGGUUUAAUUCGAAGCAACGCGAAGAACCUUACCAAAUCUUGACAUCCUUUGACAACUCUAGAGAUAGAGCCUUCCCCUUCGGGGGACAAAGUGACAGGUGGUGCAUGGUUGUCGUCAGCUCGUGUCGUGAGAUGUUGGGUUAAGUCCCGCAACGAGCGCAACCCUUAAGCUUAAUUGCCAUCAUUAAGUUGGGCACUCUAAGUUGACUGCCGGUGACAAACCGGAGGAAGGUGGGGAUGACGUCAAAUCAUCAUGCCCCUUAUGAUUUGGGCUACACACGUGCUACAAUGGACAAUACAAAGGGCAGCGAAACCGCGAGGUCAAGCAAAUCCCAUAAAGUUGUUCUCAGUUCGGAUUGUAGUCUGCAACUCGACUACAUGAAGCUGGAAUCGCUAGUAAUCGUAGAUCAGCAUGCUACGGUGAAUACGUUCCCGGGUCU